rnacentral:rRNA from 1 species
AUUGAACGCUGGCGGGAGGCCUAACACAUGCAAGUCGAACGAGUGGCGGACGGGUGAGUAAUGUAUCGGAAUGUGCCCGAUAGCGGGGGAUAACUACUGGAAAGGGUGGCUAAUACCGCAUACUAUUGAUGAGCCGAUAUUGGAUUAGCUAGUAGGUGGGGUAAAGGCUCACCUAGGCGACGAUCGGUAGCGGUUUGAGAGGAUGAUCAGCCACAUGGGACUGAGACACGGCCCAGACUCCUACGGGAGGCAGCAGUGGGGAAUAUUGGACAAUGGGGGAAACCCUGAGCCAGCCAUGCCGCGUGAAUGAAGAAGGCCUUCGGGUUGUAAAGUACUUUUGGUAGCGAAGCGGUAUCUACAGAAGAAGCACCGGCUAACUACGUGCCAGCAGCCCGGUAAUUC